rnacentral:rRNA from 1 species
GAAGGGGGCUAGCGUUGCUCGGAAUCACUGGGCGUAAAGGGCGCGUAGGCGGCGUUUUAAGUCGGGGGUGAAAGCCUGUGGCUCAACCACAGAAUGGCCUUCGAUACUGGGACGCUUGAGUCUGGUAGAGGUUGGUGGAACUGCGAGUGUAGAGGUGAAAUUCGUAGAUAUUCGCAAGAACACCGGUGGCGAAGGCGGCCAACUGGACCGGCACUGACGCUGAGGCGCGAAAGCGUGGGGAGCAAACAGGAUUAGAUACCCUGGUAGUCCACGCUGUAAACGAUGAAUGCUAGCUGUUGGGAUGCAUGCAUCUCAGUAGCGCAGCUAACGCAUUAAGCAUCCCGCCUGGGGAGUACGGUCGCAAGAUUA